rnacentral:rRNA from 1 species
CCUACGGGUGGCAGCAGUGAGGAAUAUUGGUCAAUGGACGAGCGUCUGAACCAGCCAAGUAGCGUGAAGGAUGACUGCCCUAUGGGUUGUAAACUUCUUUUGUAAAGGGGUAAAACUAGGCCCGUGUGCCUUGUUGCAUGUACUUUAUGAAUAAGGAUCGGCUAACUCCGUGCCGGCAGCCGCGGUAAUACGGAGGAUCCGAGCGUUAUCCGGAUUUAUUGGGUUUAAAGGGUGCGUAGAUGGGUUGUUAAGUCAGUGGUGAAAGUUUGAGGCUCAACCGUAAAAUUGCAAUUGAUACUGGCAGUCUUGAGUACAGUUGAGGUAGGCGGAAUUCGUGGUGUAGCGGUGAAAUGCUUAGAUAUCACGAAGAACCCCGAUUGCGAAGGCAGCUUACUAAACUGUGACUGACAUUGAUGCUCGAAAGCGUGGGUAUCAAACAGGAUUAGAUACCCCGGUAGUC